rnacentral:rRNA from 1 species
AUGAACGCUGGCGGCGUGCCUAAUCCAUGCAAGUCGAGCGAACAGAUGAGGAGCUUGCUCCUCUGACGUUAGCGGCGGACGGGUGAGUAACACGUGGAUAACCUACCUAUAAGACUGGGAUAACUUCGGGAAACCGGAGCUAAUACCGGAUAAUAUAUUGAACCGCAUGGUUCAAUAGUGAAAGACGGUUUUGCUGUCACUUAUAGAUGGAUCCGCGCCGCAUUAGCUAGCUGGUAAGGUAACGGCUUACCAAGGCAACGAUGCGUAGCCGACCUGAGAGGGUGAUCGGCCACACUGGAACUGAGACACGGUCCAGACUCCUACGGGAGGCAGCAGUAGGGAAUCUUCCGCAAUGGGCGAAAGCCUGACGGAGCAACGCCGCGUGAGUGAUGAAGGUCUUCGGAUCGUAAAACUCUGUUAUUAGGGAAGAACAAAUGUGUAAGUAACUAUGCACGUCUUGACGGUACCUAAUCAGAAAGCCACGGCUAACUACGUG